UUCCGGUUGAUCCUGCCGGAGGUCAUUGCUAUUGGAGUCCGAUUUAGCCAUGCUAGUUGUACGAGUUUAGACUCGUAGCAAAUAGCUCAGUAACACGUGGCCAAACUACCCUGUCGAUCGGGAUAACCUCGGGAAACUGAGGCUAAUACCGAAUACGGCUCGAUGCCUGGAAUUGGCUCGAGCCCGAAACGCUCCGGCGCGACAGGAUGUGGCUGCGGCCGAUUAGGUUGACGGUGGGGUAACGGCCCACCGUGCCCAUAAUCGGUACGGGUUGUGAAAGCAAGAGCCCGGAGACGGAAUCUGAGACAAGAUUCCGGGCCCUACGGGGCGCAGCAGGCGCGAAACCUUUACACUGCACGAGAGUGCGAUAGGGGGACUCCAAGUGCGAGGGCAUACAGUCCUCGCUUUUCUGCACCGUAAGGUGGUGCAGGAAUAAGUGCUGGGCAAGACCGGUGCCAGCCGCCGCGGUAAUACCGGCAGCACGAGUGAUGACCGCUAUUAUUGGGCCUAAAGCGUCCGUAGCCGGCCGGGCAAGUCCAUUGGGAAAUCCGCACGCCUAACGUGUGGGCGUCCGGUGGAAACUGCUCGGCUUGGGACCGGAAGAUCCAGAGGGUACGUCUGGGGUAGGAGUGAAAUCCCGUAAUCCUGGACGGACCACCAGUGGCGAAAGCGCUCUGGAAAGACGGAUCCGACGGUGAGGGACGAAAGCUAGGGUCACGAACCGGAUUAGAUACCCGGGUAGUCCUAGCCGUAAACGAUGUCUGCUAGGUGUGGCGCUGGCUACGAGCCAGCGCUGUGCCGUAGGGAAGCCGUGAAGCAGACCGCCUGGGAAGUACGUCUGCAAGGAUGAAACUUAAAGGAAUUGGC
rnacentral:rRNA from 1 species